rnacentral:rRNA from 1 species
AUUGAACGCUGGCGGCAUGCCUUACACAUGCAAGUCGAACGGCAGCACGGGAGCAAUCCUGGUGGCGAGUGGCUAACGGGUGAGUAAUAUAUCGGAACGUGCCCAGUCGUGGGGGAGAACGUAGCGAAAGCUACGCUAAUACCGCAUACGAUCUAUGGAUGAAAGCGGGGGAUCGCAAGACCUCGCGCGAUUGGAGCGGCCGAUAUCAGAGUAGGUAGUUGGUGGGGUAAAGGCUCACCAAGCCGACGAUCUGUAGCUGGUCUGAGAGGACGACCAGCCACACUGGAAGUGAGACACGGUCCAGACUCCUACGGGAGGCAGCAGUGGGGAAUUUUGGACAAUGGGCGCAAGCCUGAUCCAGCCAUUCCGCGUGCAGGAUGAAGGCCCUCGGGUUGUAAACUGCUUUUGUACGGAACGAAACGGCGAGCUCUAAUACAGUUUGCUAAUGACGGUACCGUAAGAAUAAGCACCGGCUAACUACGUGCCAGCCGCCGCCGUAA